rnacentral:other from 1 species
AGACUUCUGCAUCGUUCGAGAAGUUGCUUUGGUUCUUUUCCUUACUCCAAUCAUUAAGGGAACCCAUCGACAGCCGUUUGCAGUCAAGCCGUAAAUCGGAAGACUAAGAGCGUCGCGAGGGUACCCACCUGGCCUGCAAAGGUAAUAGAACCGGAGAGUCCGAUGCACGGCGAAGGCAGAAGUCUC